AUGGGACGAAAUAUGAGCCAGAUAAUAAGGAUGAAAAGCCCAAUAAGCAUGGCCACGGUGAUGACGACUUUGAGGAGGAAGGCCAAAAAACAGCAGCAGCCGCAGUCAGAACCACGGCCACGGCGGUGGUAGUGUUGCGGAGGUGGGAUUGAUGGGCCAUAAGAGGCCCCAUUCAAAUGAGCUUGUUUCUCUGCCAUCACGGAGCUGUUCUGGUUGGUCAGAAAACAAAAGGAGAGUAGACAAAUGUGCUGUAAGAGAUAAAACAACUACUCUGAAAUUGUUGAGAUAUGAUUUGGUCUGCUAUUAAUGUGUUCGUGAGUGUAUAUAUAAGAAGGGAUUGUAAGAAGAUGAUCAGUUGGGUAGGUGUGAAUUUUUCUUCGCACCAAGAGGGACACCGAAGUUGGAGAUGUUGGCCGCGUCCAUUGACGACGCGGUUACUUUGUGGGAUUGCUCUUCUUAGGCAAUUUGUAAGUUCAGGCAUAUCUUGUGUGGGUGGAGACCUCUUCAGAUGGAACCUGAAAACUUCUAAAGUGUAAAUUUGGCCGCGUCCUUGGAUUGUGCUCGGAAACUUCAGCAGCUUCCAUCGACCUACGCGUAUAUGGUUUCCCUUUCAAACUUGGACACGAUGUUUCAAAAUAACCAGUUCCUCCUAAUCUAUUAUUUGGUACGAAAGAAUAAACUUAAGAUGGAGUCUGCAACUGGGUGCACCGAAUUCCAACGAUUGUUAGAUUUGCAAGGCUCACUCGUUGACUCCUUUUCUGGGAGUUGAAAAUACUUCUCUCAUUUUUAUUUGUAUUAAUAAUCCAGACGGGGUCUUUUAAUUUAUAUCUUCUGAGGUAUUCAAAGUUUGUGGAAAAUUUCAUUCAGAUGCAACAUCUACAUUUGUGAAGUUAGCCGUGAUUUGUACUAGAACACGAUUAAAAUCAUGUUUUUUAAAAAUUUUAUAUUUUUUUAUUUUAAAUUAUUUAUGUAUAUAUAUUUAGAUUAUUUUUAAUUUAUGAUGUUAAAAAGAAUUUUUUAAAAAAUAAAAAAAUAAUAAAAACAUUAAGUUUUUCUCACUACAAUAAUCUCAGGCACUCGAGAUAAUAAAUUGUUAAUGGAAUAAUUUGUUCUGCCACUGGGACCUUUUUUCCUCCUCCAUGUGCACGCACGGCGCAGAGAAAUUUCAAGUGACUUGGACAUUGGGCUAAAAUGAUCCAGACCUCUGGUUUUGAGUGUGGCCUUGUUUUUAAUAAAAACGAAACAAGUAUUAACCAGUACUGUUUAUAGAUCAAAAGCGGUUAAAAGCAGUUUUGAAUUAAAGAGCACAGCAAUAUUCAGCCACAAUGUUAUAGGUACAGCUUUUUUUUUAUUAUUAAUGGAUUUUCUACUUAGUGGUAAAUUUUCAGGAAGAAUUAACAAAAACCUAAUAGGUGUGGAUGAUUUAUUGCAGAAGCACUGCUCAAUAAAACAUAAUUUAUCGUGAAUUUGCACAGUUCUAUUUUUUUGUUCUUUCAAAAAUUUCCAUUUUGGUCAUCAAACAUUUUUUUUUCAAUUAAAUUCUUUUGCAUUGCAUUUAUUGAGAAUUAAGCAUAAUAGUUUGUUUUAAUUUAUUUUUUAUGAAUUUAUCACGAUGAGAAAAAAAAUUUCCUGGCAUUAGAUUGAUUUGCAAUUUUAUAAAAUAGAAUUUUAUUUUAUUAGGAAGACAAAUUAAAACAUAGGGGACUACAUUUGACCGUGAGCAAUAAACUACUUUUGACUGUGAGCAAUAAUGCAUUCUUUUUCUUUACAAUGUCCAUUCCAUGAUUUUGGCCGGUGAAUUUCCCAUUUUCAUUUUAGGUGCAUGUAGUUUGAAAUUUUGAGUUUUGAUGCAAAACUUUUGUUCUCUCUCUCUCUUUAUAUAUAUAUAGUAAAUGCAAUAGUAAACAAACACUAAAAUAAAUACUCAGUACGUGACGUUGUUAUACCUGAGAAUGAUCUAAAAAAUCGGGUCACAGGUUUCCAGCCUAUAUACUGAUUUUUUGAAAAAGAUCAAAGAAAUAAUAUAAACAGAUUUUUGAUGCGAAUGAACAAGGUAAGACCAACAAUGUCAGGAUCCUUGAUCAAACACAGAGCAUACUUAACGUACGUAAAGUAUAACAAGAAUGUAAAUAAUGAAAAUAUAAUCUUACUUAAAUUUGUAAUAUAAAUUAACACAAGAGAUAUUGGGUACAAAUGAGAAUUGAUAUAGGUUACAGGUUAUGAGUUACAAGGGAGAAUAAGGUUUUUCUCUGGAAAAAUGGUAGUCUGCCUCUUGAAGAAUUUGGAGUCCCCUUGUAUAGACGAGUUGACAUGGAAGAGGCCAAAAUGUCUUGUUGGAGAUUCCGUCAGUACCCAUGUGAACCCAUGUGAUGUUGCCUGCCAUGAUUAGGUGGCGACAAAAAAGGAAGAUGCCUAUGUUUUUCGUGGGACUUUUAUCUGUUUUCUUGUUGCUACCGACACUAGUUUUGUCUGUUUGUAGUAGCAGAUAAUUUUUGUAAAAAGAAAGCCUAAAACAAACAGGAUUAAAAUAAAAAAAGGACUUAAAACAGGUGGGUCAAAAAUAUGGCUCUAAACAGAUGAGCCUGAGAAAGCUUGAAAAAUACUUUUUUUUUUUACUUAAUGUCGCUUGAUAGGUGGUAAAAUACCAAAACAAUCAUCUUCAUUAUUAUCUCCAAGGGAAAUGGCAGGAGAUAUCAAUCCAAAUGAGUUGGAUUGGGACAAGACCGUUUCGGGUCUUGGCUUUGUAUAAUGCUUUGGACUAUUUGUAGGUAUUCUUCAUCAGUUCUAGCAGAGGCAAGGAGAGCUACCGUUUGAGCUUUUCUGGCUAGAAACUUUGAUCGAGGAUGAUGAUCAAUGAUGGGAGUUGUUUGAUGUUUUUGUAACCAUUCCGUAACUACUAAUUUGGAACUUUUGGAUUUAGCUGCAAAAAAAUCCUACCAUUUGAUUUUGAACUUGCGAACUAGAACUGGAUGUCCGUUUUGUAAAUUAUAAUCAUAGAACCAUGAACAUACCCAUGGCAUAAAAAAUUUUGUACAGAAAAUGAGCAGGGAAGAGAACUUCCUUUCAGAAGGGGCUGGUUGGAAGUUGUUUUUGAAAUGAAGGUAGCCGUUUUCAAUCAAAGGAUGGUCUUUGAGGUAAUCAACAUGACAACCAUAGUAGUCCUACCAUUGGAGGAACCAGAGGGGGAGGUUUGUAGUAUUCAUGUAAUUAUGGAAGUAGAAAAGCCAAGAAUGACUAUGAUUUGGAUUUUGUAGGAGGAAGGCAUUGAACCAUUCCUGUUGGUAAUCCCAGUACGUAUAGGUGGUAUUGAAGUCCUGGGGGUUUGUACGGAAGUGUAUGGGAAAGGAAAAAGGUUGAUGUAAGGGUUGUCCCCAGUCUUUAGGGUGAAUGAUUUUGUGAAUGAUACAUAUAGAAUAUGCCGGUUUAGUGUGAUCAGAAUGAAGUUUGAAGUAUUUGAACUUGACAGAAUUAGUAAUCUCAAGGAUUGCGGCAUAAUAGGACUGUGGUUUGGCUAGAUUCCAGGGUUUGUAGUACCAAUUUGGAGGGAAAAUUUUUGAAGCAGCAAUGGAAGGGUUUUCAUGAUAAAAUCCUUCUUCCAUAGUUAAAAUAUUUUGAUAAGUAGUUUUGAAAAUAUAUUUGGAUUUGAUUUUUGGAAAACUGGUUUGUUGUAAAGAAAGGAGGGGUUUUGAAGUAGAAAUGCCUCCUUGAUGUUUUGAAAGUGGUUUAGAAAUACUACCUGUUUGAGAGACAGAAUCAUCGGAGGUCUGUUGAGACACUUUUUGUAGUUGUCGCACUUGACAUCGCGGCGGCCCUAAAAAUAAUUCUCUUUAUUAUGAAGGAAAAAAACAGAUUUAUGGCAUCUUAUUCUUUUAGGGGAAAAGGUCUUGUUUAAGGAGUCGCCACCUAAUAUUAUGGUCACUAGGAACCCUAACUGGUCAACAGAGAUUCUAUGGUACGGGACUGAUUACAUAAAAGGGAAGAUAUUAUCACCCCUUAAACGUUCUGCCUGAGGCAGACUGCAUUGCUGAUUUUGUCUUAAAUUGUUAAACAUUUAUUCGCUUAUGCUAUGAUAAUUUGUUUAUAAUAUUCCUGACUCUGGCGCCAGUGAAUAUUCGAUCUUGAAUAAUUCCAACUCUAGCGUUGGUAAAAAUUCCACCAAGAAUAAUUCCAACUCUAGCGUUGGUAACAAGAAUAAUUCCAACUAAAAAUUCUACCACGAAUAAUUCUAACUCUGACGUUGGUAAAAAUUUGUGGCUAUGAAAAAAUCAGUAUAUUUUCUUUUUUUAUUCAUGAUUCUGAUAUCAUUGAAUAAAUUGAUAAAAAUAUAUUUUUUCUAAGACAUGCAAAAACUUUUAUUUCUAAACUUUCUAUUUAUUUUAUUUUAUUUUAUUUUUUAUUUUUUUGGCUGGGCCCAGCGCAGCCCAUGUGGCUGGGCUGGACCCAGCAGGCCUAGCCGGGUCAUAGGCUUGACCCGGCUGGCCAUUUAUUUUACCAGCAGGCGUGCGUGAACUGAGCAUAUAAUUAAAAUGCAAGAAGGGAAAGCGCAACUUACUUGGUGCUGGAAAUGGCGGUCCGGAUUUUUCAGUCUUUCUUGGUCGUCUAUCCUUGCCUCAAGAUCCCUGUGUUCAUUCGUUUCCCUUCUGUCGAUGUAUUCCUUCUGUCAGCUACUCGUUCCUCUCUCCUUUUUAGCUUCUUCCUCUUGCCGUGGAAGCUGGCGCUGGAGAAGGGGAAGCCGGUGAUGAUGCUGGUGCUCUCUGGUGGUUCUCCCUUUUCUGCUUGUUUUUUUUUCCUUUGUUUUCUUUUGUUCACUUUGUUUGUGUUCUGGGGACGAAAACAAAGCUUGGAGCACUGGCUUUUUGCUCUUUCCUUUUCUUAGUCUGUGCUUUCGGUCCUCCCUCUCUCGGUACCCUCUGUUUUGUUCUCUGCUCUCUCUCUAUCUACUCCCUGUCUAUCCCCCUGUUUAUUUCUCUUCGUCUCUGUUCCCUGAGAAGAAACAAAAAUUUGCUAUUCUGGUUCGUUCUUCUGUCUUCGUUUUCUGCCGUUUUUCUCUGGUUUUUCGUCUAGGAAACGGACACGAGUUUGAAAGAGAGAAAUUUUUGUUUUAGAAACAACUAAACCAUUUUAUUUAACAGUAUGAAAGAAAAUAUGUAGAUAGAUGUUUGAAAUGUUGAUCAAUAGAAUAUGAAAAAAUAAACACAUCGUUAAUGUAAACAAUACAAAAUUUUGAAUGUGCAUUAAACAAGUGGUAUGCAUCACAGAGAAAUACUAAAUUCAUUAUCUAUUAAUUAUAUAUAUAUAGUCUCUGACUAUGAACAUAAAAGCAUGAUAAGGGUAAAAAAAAUAGUAAUAAUAUCAAACAAAACCAAUCAAAGAUUGAAUCAAAUAUGGAGAUGAGGUUCUGCGACCAUGAUGAUCAUCAAAACUUGAUCUCGCACUUGUUAUUACUGAUCCCAGCAACAGGAGAUCCGUUCAGAGGAAUCUUCAAAUCGUCACACUCAACCUUGGGCUUGAACCUUGCAGUCUUGACCUUACCAAGCUUAAAUCUAAUCCUCAAAGACAGCUCCAAGGCAAUACUAUAUAACCCGCUUGUUCUUUCUUGAUUAAACUGUGUCAACUCUUCACCUUGAAGGGUAACUGCUUGCUGCCCUUUAAAAACCACGUUCAAGACACUUGUGUUCUUGUGUCCUUGAUAGAAUGGAGUCAAGGCAUGAUAGCCAAACCUCUGGUCCUCAUAAAAUGCCCUGGCCUCUAUCCUGUCAUAGUAAAUCCCAAUCUUUUUGUUAGGGUUGCGGAUACUGAUGUUGGCAGCAAGGUUGAAUUGGAGCAUGUUGUUGGUGUAGUUGAACUGAGUUAAAGCAACGUCUGUGACAUGGAAUUCGACCUUGUUAAUGGGACGAAAUAUGAGCCAGAUAAUAAGGAUGAAAAGCCCAAUAAGCAUGGCCACGGUGAUGACGACUUUGAGGAGGAAGGCCAAGAAACAGCAGCAGCCACAGUCAGAACCACGGCCACGGCGGUGGUAGUGUUGCGGAGGUGGGAUUGAUGGACCAUAAGAGGCCCCAUUCAAAUGAGCUUGUUUCUCUGCCAUCACAGCUCUGUUCUGGUUGGUCAGAAAACAAAAGGAGAGUAGACAAAUGUGCUGUAAGAGAUAAAACAACUACUCUGAAAUUGUUGAGAUAUGAUUUGGUCUGCUAUUAAUGUGUUCGUGAGUGUAUAUAUAAGAAGGGAUUGUAAGAAGAUGAUCAGUUGGGUAGGUGUGAAUUUUUCUUCGCACCAAGAGGGACACCGAAGUUGGAGAUGUUGGCCGCGUCCAUUGACGCGGUUACUUUGUGGGAUUGCUCUGUAUUUUCUUAGGCAAUUUGUAAGUUCAGG
rnacentral:lncRNA from 1 species